rnacentral:rRNA from 1 species
AUGAACGCUAGCGACAGGCUUAACACAUGCAAGUCGAGGGGCAGCACAGGUAGCAAUACCGGGUGGCGACCGGCGCACGGGUGAGUAACGCGUAUGCAACUUGCCUAUCAGAGGGGGAUAACCCGGCGAAAGUCGGACUAAUACCGCAUGAAGCAGGGGCCCCGCAUGGGGAUAUUUGCUAAAGAUUCAUCGCUGAUAGAUAGGCAUGCGUUCCAUUAGGCAGUUGGCGGGGUAACGGCCCACCAAACCGACGAUGGAUAGGGGUUCUGAGAGGAAGGUCCCCCACAUUGGUACUGAGACACGGACCAAACUCCUACGGGAGGCAGCAGUGAGGAAUAUUGGUCAAUGGGCGUAAGCCUGAACCAGCCAAGUCGCGUGAGGGAUGAAGGUUCUAUGGAUCGUAAACCUCUUUUAUAAGGGAAUAAAGUGCGGGACGUGUCCCGUUUUGUAUGUACCUUAUGAAUAAGGAUCGGCUAACUCCGUGCCAGCAGCCGCGGUAAUACGGAGGAUCCGAGCGUUAUCCGGAUUUAUUGGGUUUAAAGGGUGCGUAGGCGGCCUUUUAAGUCAGCGGUGAAAGUCUGUGGCUCAACCAUAGAAUUGCCGUUGAAACUGGGGGGCUUGAGUAUGUUUGAGGCAGGCGGAAUGCGUGGUGUAGCGGUGAAAUGCAUAGAUAUCACGCAGAACCCCGAUUGCGAAGGCAGCCUGCCAAGCCAUUACUGACGCUGAUGCACGAAAGCGUGGGGAUCAAACAGGAUUAGAUACCCUGGUAGUCCACGCAGUAAACGAUGAUCACUAGCUGUUUGCGAUACACUGUAAGCGGCACAGCGAAAGCGUUAAGUGAUCCACCUGGGGAGUACGCCGGCAACGGUGAAACUCAAAGGAAUUGACGGGGGCCCGCACAAGCGGAGGAACAUGUGGUUUAAUUCGAUGAUACGCGAGGAACCUUACCCGGGUUUGAACGCAUUCGGACCGAGGUGGAAACACCUUUUCUAGCAAUAGCCGUUUGCGAGGUGCUGCAUGGUUGUCGUCAGCUCGUGCCGUGAGGUGUCGGCUUAAGUGCCAUAACGAGCGCAACCCUUGCUACUAGUUACUAACAGGUAAAGCUGAGGACUCUGGUGGGACUGCCAGCGUAAGCUGCGAGGAAGGCGGGGAUGACGUCAAAUCAGCACGGCCCUUACAUCCGGGGCGACACACGUGUUACAAUGGCGUGGACAAAGGGAAGCCACCUGGCGACAGGGAGCGAAUCCCCAAACCACGUCUCAGUUCGGAUCGGAGUCUGCAACCCGACUCCGUGAAGCUGGAUUCGCUAGUAAUCGCGCAUCAGCCAUGGCGCGGUGAAUACGUUCCCGGGCCUUGUACACACCGCCCGUCAAGCCAUGGGAGCCGGGGGUACCUGAAGUCCGUAACCGCGAGGAUCGGCCUAGGGUAAAACUGGUGACUGGGGCU